GGUUUUCAAGGAAGGUGAAGCUGAAGCUCCAAUACAUUCACCACCUGAUGCAAAGAGCCGACUAAUUAGAAAAGACUCUGAUGCUGGGAAGCAUUGAAGGGAGGAAGAGAAGGGGACGACAGAGGAUGAGAUGGUUGGAUGGCAUCACCGACUCGAUGGGCAUGAGUUUGAGCAAGCUGUGGUCAAUGGUGAAGAACGAGGAAUCCUAAAGGUGCCGGCUUGGGGGAGCAGGAGCGGGCGUGAGAGAUGCAAGGAGUGGGAGCAAGAAAAGCCUCAAGGAGCAGAGGAGAGGCCCUGAGACUGCGGGGAGGCUCCGGGACUCCUGGCUGCCGUUAGCACCGCCCCUGCCCACAACCCAACUACACCUACCCUGAAUAUUCAUUAGAAGGACUGAAAUUGAAGCUCCAAUACUUUGGCCACCUAUGCGAAGACUCAACUCAUUGAAAAAGACCCUAAUGUUGGGAAAAACUGAAGGCAAAAGGAGAAGAGGGCGGCAGAGGAUAAGAUGGUUAGAUAGCAUCACUGACUCAAUGGACAUGAAUGUGAGCAAACUCCAGGAGAUAGUGGAGGACAGGAGCCUGGAGUGCUUCAGUCCAUGGAGUCACAUGGAGCUACUGAACAACAACAACCAACUAUACCUCAAUUAAAACAAACAGCCUUUUCAGG
ensembl:lncRNA